AACAACAAAAUUAAUUUUUUUUUUAUUUCAUAUGCAUUAUUUAUCCCACCAACCACCAGUCUUCUCUUUUCCUUUCUGUUCAUGGCUUAGCUACCAUGAUCAAAGUAACCUUAUUUAUACAUAGAAGGCUAUCCACAAUCCCAAUUUUACUUAAAUGAUCAUAUAGACCCUCUUACUUUUAUAAAUAAUCACACACACUUCCUUUUAACUAUUAUACCUUUAAUUACAAUAACUCUAUUGACUUUACAUAAACUUGU
rnacentral:lncRNA from 1 species